rnacentral:misc_RNA from 1 species
AAGUCGUAACAAGGUUUCCGUAGGUGAACCUGCGGAAGGAUCAUUAACACUUAAAAUAAAAACAAUUUCCCUUUUGAAUCCCUCUCUUUUCUUUUCUCUUUCUCUUCUCUUCGGAGGGGAGACUGGGGAAGUCAAGAGAUUUUCAAAUUUAAUUUGAACAAAAAUGUGUAACCUUACUUUUUUACUUAUGGAUUUGAGGGCAAGAAAAGAGGGAGUUUUCAACUCUCUCUCUUCGUGGUUCUCAGAUUUUCUCAUAAACCAGUUAAACCCAAUAAAUCAAAAUAUGGCGUAUCUCAAAGGGACUUUUUGUCUCUUUGACGAUCCCCCAUAGUUAAACCAAAAACAAAAAACCAAAAACAAAAAACUAAAAAAUAAAACACAACUCUUAACAAUGGAUAUCUUGGUUCUCGC